AUCAUCCUGGUCCCUCCAUGGUGAUUUUGGGGGGUCAGCCACGGAGAGCACCCCGGUCCCUCAAUGGUGCAAUUGGGGGUUCAGCUAGAGGGUGUACCCCAGGCCCCGAGGGUGCAUUUGGGGGUUCACCUAGAGGAUCACCCCGGUCCCCGAUGGUGAUUCUGGGGGGUCAGCCACAGAAAGCACCCCGGUCCCCGAUGGUGAUUGUGGGGUUCAGCCACAGAGAGCACUCCGGUCCCUCCAUGGUGGUUUCGGGGGGUCAGCUACAGAGUGCAUCCCGGUUCCUCAAUGGUGCAUUUGGGGGUUCAGCUAGGCAGUGCAUCCCGCUUUCUCCAUGGUGCAUUUGGGGGUUCAGCUAGAGGGUGUACCCCAGUGCCGUGAUGUGGUUUUGGGGUUCAACCACAGAGAGCACCCCGGUUUCUCCAUGGAGCAUUUGGGGGUUCAGCUAGACAGUGCACCCCGGUUUCUCCAUGGAGCAUUUGGGGGUCAGCUAGAGGGUGUACCCCAGUGCCGUGAUGUGGUUUUGGGGUUCAACCACAGAGAGCACCCCGGUUUCUCCAUGGAGCAUUUGGGGGUUCAGCUAGACAGUGCAUCCCAGUCCCGAAUGGUGCAUAUUUGGGGUUCAGCCACAGAGUGCACCCUGGUUUCUCAAUGGUGCAUUUGGGGGUUCAGCUAGACAGUGCACCCCGGUUUCUCCAUGGAGCAUUUGGGGGUUCAGCUAGACAGUGCAUCCCAGUCCCGAAUGGUGCAUAUUUGGGGUUUAGCCACAGAGUGCACCCCGGUUUCUCCAUGGAGCAUUUGGGGGUUCAGGCACAGAGUGCACCCCGGUUUCUCCAUGGAGCAUUUGGGGGGUCAGCCACAGAGAGCACCCAG